rnacentral:misc_RNA from 1 species
UCUCCGCCUGCCGCCUCGUCCCUUUUCUUUUCCUGACAACGCCCCCGAGCGUGAACUCGCUCGCACUGACUUCCUCACAAGCGCACGUACACGCCUUGACCCCCACUACACUCCCCCUUCUCACCGCUGCACUGAAGCACUCACAAGCACACAGGUAGCACGCACCAAGAAGGUCUGGCCGUGUGGCUUCUCUUUUAUAUUAUUUCUCGGCAUUCAGGGAGUCCUCCUCCAUUCUCUUCUCCCACUUCCUUCCUCAGCGUAUAUAUACGAGAGGGAGACGUUCAUAGACACGUCUCGCUCUCGCAUCGUGUGUGGCCCGUUUGCGUGCGUGUGCCAACAGGGUCGGCGUAGCGUCUUCUUUUUUUUUGUUUCGCAUCAUUCUUUCGCCACUGCACCAACACUACCCAGACCACCACCGCCCAUCACCGCUGCCAGGCCGACAGGGCCCUUCCUUCCAUCCCUCCUCAAGACCACCCCACCAUCCCACCCACACCUACAUCCCUCCUCCCUUCCCCCCUCACCGGUACGCCCCCGGCAUCCACGCACGCUUUCCAUACCCCAUCUCGAUACAUCCCAUCGCAUAUCUUUUUGCUUUUCGUUUUCUUUUCCCUUUCCUCCCUCUCCUCCUUCUGUUGUUCGCCCGCGCACGCACCGCGCGCGGGCUCUCUUUGCCUUCCCCUGCGGGGAGAACGUACUUGUAUCCAUAGCAGCAACGUACACUCUCACGCCCAUACGCGCACGCGCCCCCCCUCCCACACACACACACACACAUCACGUAUCAGAGGCCGUCUAUCUUUUUCGUUUUUUUUUUUCUCUCUUUCUGUCUCCGAGUGUCAUUGUUGGGGUCCAUCGUCAUCUUUUCCCGCUUGCUCCUGCCCACCACCGCCGCCACGACAUUGCAUUGACUGCUUCCUCUGGCGUUCGUACUUCGCCAUCAUCAUCAACGGCGCACCUCCGCUCCGCCUUCCCUCCUCAUCCCCAGUUCGUUUCUUUCCGCCAGCUUCAUUAUUCCUGUUGGCCGUCGUUGCUGGUUGUUGGUGGUGGUUGUCUCUGUCCUCCUUCUCUCUUUCGGUGUGUGUGUGUGUGCAUCCUCCCUUGUCGUCAUCAUUCAUCGUUUCGCCUUGCCUCGCUUCGUCUCUCAAGGCCAUCCUCCUCCUCCUCCCUCCCCUCCCUCUCCUGAACAAACGGCAGAUUCUGCUUUCUUCUGUACCUCUAUCUACCUUGAUGGGGGUUCCCCACAUUAUCACUAGCUUCCUCCCUUCACUAUCCUCUUCGGCUGUUGGUGCUCACCCUGUGUACAGCUGCCCGCAUCCCUCCCUUCCCUCCCCUCGAGAGAUCGUGUCUUCUCCGGCUCUUCGUCCAUCUUCGCUACACAAGCCCCUCUGCCAUUCCUCGCACACGCAUCUAUACUCUCGACAAGGAGGCGAGCGAGCAAAAAAAAAAGAUUCGGUCCGACGCGCCGACGCACUACGCGCAUUCUUUGGCAUAAACACACGCGCACGCACGCCCUCUCGCCACUCCACGCCACGCCGCCCUUCCGUGGAGUUCUGCUCGCGUCCUGCGGUGCGCUUGCCAUCCCUCAUUCAACCGUUUGUUCUCUUUUCCCUCAGUCUGUCUGCCUGUGUGUGUGUGUGUGUGCGUGUGUGUGCGUUGAUGUUGGUGGCGUUGCUGUGAUUAUUUGCUGUCUCUCCCCACUCUUUUUUUUUUUUUCGUCUUUGUCACUCACGCCGCGUCCAUCACUUCUCCCGCCCCCCUCCCUCCUUCCCUCCUUCCCUCCUUCCCUCUCGCUUGCACAGGUGACGGCGUGGGGGGGGCCACUUGCGCUCCUGCAUACGUGCUCACACUCACACUCACACACACAUAUAUAUAUACACACACAUACACACAUACACACAUACAUAUAUACAUAUAUAUACAUAUAUAUAUAUAUAUAUAUAUAUAUUUCUAUACAAAGCUUCCUCCUGUCUCUCCCCCUCGAAAAACAAAAUCGAUUCGCGUGCGUGGCGGCGUGCGUGCCAGACCCUCCACCCCUCCCUCCCCGUGUCCGCGUGUGUCUCUUAUCUGGUCGCGCAUUUUUUUUUUCAACGCGCCCUGCACGGCUUUCUUCUCCGACUGUCCUCCUCGCUCUCCGCCUGUUGCAGAUAUUUGCGGCACGCUAUUCGUCGUGUCGCUGUCCUGGUGGCUGCGGUCGUUGCCGCUGCGGUCAGACCCCCUCCUCCCUCCUUCCUCUGCGCCGCAUCGUUGCCCUUGCUGUUCUGCUAUCGUGAGGCGCACAUUGACGUCACACACACACAUGUAGAUACGCGCACGCACACGCGUAUAUAUAUGUGUGUGCGUGUGCGCGUACAUGUGCAUGUAAAACGAAGCCGGAACACACGCAGCAGCAGCAGAGGUCUUUCUGAGAGCGAGCACACGAAGCAGAGGGGCAACGAGGGAUAGAGGGGUACAGAGACAGCGCGAGAGAUUUGGUAGCGAGCAGAACAGGAGCGCCACAUCCUUGUGCGCAUAUACAUGCACACACACACACACAUAUAUAUAUAUAUAUAUAUAUAAGAAAUCGUACACAUCAAGCACACGGCCAUCAAGGCUAUCCUCCUAGGUGCACACAGACAAAACAGCAUCACCGCGGCCCUCCCCCUCUCCUCUUUUCUUCUCUCCAACCUUUUCCUGCCUUUUUCGUUCUUCUCCGCGUGUGCGUGCGUGCUUUCGCAUCAUCUCUGUUUGGGGCAGCGGCAGCUGAGAAGAGGAGCCGCGCGUGUCUGUCUCCGUGUUUGAUCGCUCCGGCUUUGUCUCUGUGCUCUCCUUUGCGACGCCGCGAGACUCUUCGAUUCGUCGAGUGGUAUCGUGCGCUCCUCCCCGCACGUGUCUCCGCCGUGGUUGGUUUUCUCGCUUUCUUCUCCUCUUCCUCCUGCGUGUGUGGGUGUGCCUGUCUUCUUGUGCUCUGCGUCUGUGCAUUCAUUCAUCCAUCCAGCUCUCCCGCUCUGCGCGACUCCCUGUGGCGCGCGCGUGUAGGAGUGCACAGCGCGUCAGGCGUCGUUCUCUUCUGCCUUUCAGUUCUUGCUGCUGCUGCGUUCUCUCGUGCGCGCUUCUUUCGUUGCCGGACGUGGUGGCGGCUUCCUCUGCGCGUGUGCCGCCCCGCCCCCGUCCCACGCUUCUAGCCUUCCGUGUGUUCUGCAGUCUUCCUAGCCUCCUUGCCUCGGUGUCUGGCUUGUUGUCGUGCGCAGGCAUUAAAAACAAAACGAGGGCGCGAAGACGUCGACCGCCGCGGGCGGGCAUCGAGAGGGAGGGAGAGUAGAGAAACAUCGAUGCCGAACACCUGCUCGAAGGGGCAGCUGUUGGACGUCUCGUGUGCAAUGCGCGCCACUGACGACUCCGACAUGGCGGCGCCGGGAGAUGGUGCAGAUGGCGCUGACCGCCACGCUCUCGGAUCACCUGGGGACGGCGUCGGCGGCGCCGGGCCGCAGCCGCAUCCGCUGCGACGGCAGCUUGGUCUUGAAGGAUGCACGGAUGCGUUUAGCAGCGACGAGGGAGACGCAUCAGCAACACCGGAGGCGGCCGGCGGUGCGCCUCUCAGUGGUGAAGUUGACGUCUGCAGCUCUUCCCUCAGCGCCACGGCGCGUCACCAGAACCUCUUAAAUCAUGUGCUUCUGGGUGGUGAUAGCGAAUUCACGCUAACAGGUGGGCCCACCAUUCACAGCGCACCAUUACCAGCGCAGGAGCUGAUGGCAUCCGGGCCAGCUGUUGCGGCGACCGCGACGCAUCUGCCUGUUUCUUCGGCGCCAUCGCGCUCCUUCUCCUCCCAAGGCAAGCCCCUCUCCGCUAUCUUGGUGCCAGCCAGCCGGAGCGACGACUCAGCAGCAGCAGCACGCUGUUACAUUGACCCGUUCGCGGCAGCGGUUGUUGGCAGCGGUUCCACCAGCCGUAGUAGCAGCGUCGGCAUCGGUCGCCCAUGUACGAGCACGGGGAUGGAAGGCCUGUACGGCGACCACUACGUACAUCCACUGCUGCGGUCGCGAAGCGGGCGGAGCGGCGGCAGCAGCGGCUUCUUCGGUGGAGCAGACGACGUUGAGGACGAUGAGGACGGAUCGGCUGCUCUUCAAGCGGCCGUCGACGCUGCCGUGCGUUUCGACGACCUCGCAAGCGAGGACGAUACGGUGAGCGGGGGCGGUGAGAGGCGAAGGUUGCUGCGCGCUGGUCCCACAGCAUUGUCUCACUUGCUUGCGGUGGCAAGCGACCCCGAAGACGGCGCGUUCACGUGCGCACAUCGCACAAAAGCGGAUUUCUCCAGCCCCUUUGGCACACCCGGCGGCCUUGGCGAUGGUGAAAGCGAGCGGCAUCAGCCCCACUCGCCGCAGACGCCCGGUAUGCAGCAGUGCGGUCGCCUGGGCGACCGGAGGACCGAUGGUCGCCCACAGAUGCCGAACCGCGCCGCUAUCGGAGCGACUGCGACGCCAUCGUCGGCGCCCUACUUUGCGGCCUCCGGCAGUGCGAUCGUGUCGCCACUCCAGUCGAUGCAGCCCCUGGCUUCGCCCGCUGCUGCCGCUCCCAAUCCUGCGACGACCAUCGUGACGUCCGCCCAUCCGGGCUACGCAGCUGCACAAGCACAACAGCCGCCGCAGCAGCCACUCUAUCCUUACAUCGUGACCAGCGCCGGCACCGUAGCCAAACCCUCCGCCCCGGCAUGCUCUUUGACCUCGCCGCAGCAGUCCUCCAUCCCUGUGCCGCCGUCUCGGAACGGAGCCCGGCAGCUACAACUGCAACAGCAGCAGCUGCGCGACCACCACCAUCAGUGCUCUUCCUCGCUGCAUCCCUCGCCGCAUGGCCGGAAAGCGUCGCCGGUAGCGGUGCCGCAUACCUUCCCGGCUGGUACGGCCGCGAUGCCAAAGCUGGACGACGUCGACAGCUUCCGGUACGUGUCACCGCCGCAGGCGUCCAUCGCGGCCACCCACCAUCACAGCGUCAGCGGCGCCUCGAUAGGCGGCAGCACCGCUGCACAGAACAGCACCGACAUCAGCUUUGCCGUUCAGCUUGGCACGGCGGGCAGUGGGACGGGCACGGGCAUCGGUGGCCAGACGCCGAGCAACUCGCUCUUGUCCUCGCCCAGCGUUCAGCCGUUUUACUUGUAUCAGGUACCACAGGCGACCGUUGCCAUGGAGCCGCCGCCGCCGCAGCAGCCGCCGCCGCCAGGCAGCGCGAAUGUGCUGCUCUACUCCCCACCGCAGGCAUACGUUGGGUCAGGCCAGGUGGUGGCGGCACAUCUGCAUCCCGCGCCACCGACCACAGCCGCUGCGACCGCCGUGCUCGGCGACUCGUCGAGGGCGCGUUCGACGUCGACUCCGAGCGGCUCGUAUCAGCGUCCUGCUGUCACUCAACAGCAACAGCCGCAGGUCAUCGGAGGGUACACACUGAUGCCGAGUGCCGCGGCGGCCGCCGCGGCCGCUGCUGCCACCACCCCGUCGGAGGAGUCGGGCCGGGCGUCGCGAAACUUGUACUUCCGCAACCUCCCACACUCGUGGAACACGUCGAUGCUGCGUGAGCUGUGCAGCCGCUAUGGCGCUGUCCUGUCGGCGAAGGUUGCCCAUCACUCCACAACGAAUGAGUCGCUGGGGUACGGCUUCGUGCUCUUCGAGCAUAAACAAAGUGCUGUGACAUGCAUGGCGAUGCUGAACCAGGCCCAUGUUCACGCGGAGGGCGAGGAGUCGCGCACGCUGCUCGUGCGGAUGGCCCACGCGACAGCCGCGCCGGGCUUUCAGGAGGAGGGCGCUAGCGACAGCACGGCCUCCAGCCUUCGCCAGCCGACGGAGCUGACGCCGCCGUCGGGCUCGGUGAGCCGGGCGGGCGCGGCCGGGGGCAGGCUGCCGCAGUGGAUCUUGCAGCAGCAGCAACAGCAGACGACGACGAGUGGGCUCCGCUCCCCGCGCACACCGCUGUCCGGCUCUGCGUCGAUGAUGCUACUUUCACCCGGCUCUGCGCCGCAGUUUUACAGCCGUGAGCUCUCCGGUGCCAGUGUGGCCGACGCACAUCGGGGACAGGCGCCCCCCCACUCGAUCGGUGACAGCAUCAGGACGAACGCGAACGCCUCGUCAAACACCUCGUGCGCCGGCGGUGACUCGCUGCGGUGCACCUCUCCAGUCGGCGGCGCCGGCAACAACAGCUGCGUGGCCGUCUCCAGGACGUCCAUGCCACCUUCCUUCUCCGAGACAUUCAACUUCAUGAGCCCCAAGGGGGCAGCAAAGGCCCUGGCGCCGCCACUGCGUGGCCUUUAUCGUGUUCCCUCAACGAAUACGACGUCAUCGCUCUUGUCCCCUCAUCAGCCACACCAACUACAGCAGCAGCAGCAGCAGGAGGGCUCUCUCUCGUACUCGUCCGCGUCGGCGAGCAGGUCCGCCACGGCCGGAGCGACUGCCACAGCGACCGCCAUGGCAGCAGCGGCGACCCAGCGCGCCGGCUGCAACUUCUGCAGUCCUCUCUCGCUCUCCCCCAACGACACCGCUUCGCUGCUGCUACUGUCGCCGUCCGCGCCGCACCCGACGGUGCAGCUGCCACAGUCGCUCCAUGCGCCUUGCGCAUCCGUGUCCGGCAAGGCGUCCUCGGCAAAACCCGCCUCCGCCACCACGUCGACCCGUAAUGUGUACAUCACGAACCUCCCUCUCACGUGGAACACAACGAAACUGCGUGAGCUGUGCGGCCGGUACGGCGAGAUCGUCUCCGCGUCGGUGGCGCACCACCCGGAGACGAACGGGUCGCGCGGCUACGGCUUUGUGUUGUUCGCGGAGGAGCGCGACGCGGCCGCCUGUGUGAUGGCGCUGCACCACUGCCGCGUGCCGGCCUCGCCCCACGUGCUGCGCUGCCGCUUUGCGAAGGACAAGGCGACGCCGCCCAUCGCCUACGCGCUGCUGUCGCCGUCGCAGCAGCCCGGGCGGGACUCCGUCGGCAGUGGGAGCGGUAGCCCCCUCCCCACGGCCACCGUCGGCGGGUCGCCUACCGCUGCAACGUCAAAGACAAUGGUGCCGAUGAUCGCGAUGGGCGGCGAUGCCGAUGUCUUCGAAAGCAGCCUCGCUAGUAACGGUACCGGCAACAGCACCCGCGUUAGCACCAAAGGCGCAGUCCAGGAUGCGGUCUGCAUGCCGAUCGACGUCUUCUGCACGCUGCAGCAGCGGGUGCACGCGCAGUGCGUGCAGUACCUCACCCAGAAGCAUCAGCUGCAGCGCAAGGGCACGGAGGACAACAGCGAGCCCACGAGUGCCGUGGUCACGGCAGAGGUGCAGUCUGAAGAGCUGGAGAACAUGAUGCGGUCCUGCGUCGUCUACGGCGCUCAUGUGCCGACACAAGGAUACGGCUGCGUGCGCCCUAUGGACUGCCGCAAGGCAUCCUUCCGGAGGGCUGUCGCUCGAUCACCCACAGCCGCCGUUGUCGAGGAUGCCGAGCAGCUGCUCAGUGGACCCCCUGCAGAGCCGUCGACGCCGGCCUCAUCAGGGCUGCGGUCAGUUGGCUCCGCCCUCUCCACCGAACGUGGCGACCCGAGUGGCGAAGUCCUUGAGGCCGCAGACACGGCCGCGCCAGUGACACUGCCGGGAACGGCAGUUUGUACGCAUGCCAUUGCCGUCGGCUGUGCGCAGCCGGCCUCCCCCACACUCGCCGGCACAACCACGAUGCCAGCAGCCCCGAGCACCCGGCGUAGCAUGAGCGACGAGCCGUCGUGUGCGCCGCCGCGUGGAGUCGGCAUGCCAGACGCGGAGAGCGCGAGUCGGGUCGCGACGCCAGAGGCGAUGGCAUCGCCAGCUGCUCCGCUGGAGCUGUGGUACACAUGCACUCUCUUCACCACUCAGUUAGCGGCAGAGGCGUUCGUCCGGGCGGCAGCUGAGGCAUCAUUGGGCUCCGGCGCAACCAUCAACGCAGGGCGUGGCGAUUUCGGCACCAGCAGUGGAAUCGUUGUGGAUGCGUCGACGGUGCAGCUCUCCUCUAACGGCAAGGGCUCGCUGGCGGAUACCACUCUUCCCUCUCCCUCGCCGUCUUUUGACAAGACAGCCAAAAUUCAACAGACGCGCUUCGGGCUUCGGGAUCAGGUAAUGGUGCUCAGCAGCGCGCCGUUGACGGUGCCGGCGGCCCCGCUUUCCACCUCCUCCGCGAACGACAUGGCAGCCAACAGCACGCGUCUGCACCCUACAGAGGAGCCGAAUUCACAGCACCGACCCACAGCCACGCCUCCCCAACAGCAGUACCAGUGGCAUCACUUGCGCCCGUCACAUCAGCUACCGCCACCAACGCCGCUGCAUGCGCAGACGAGGGACGGCAGCGCGGCCGCAUCAGCGACGCAGCCGCGCGGCUCCAGCCUCUGCUCUGCAACAGGCAUCGCUGCAGCUGCUGCGCACCCAUCGGCUUCCACGGCCGAGCCGGCGCCAGAGCUUUCACAGCCGCCGCACCUACAGCAGCAGCGGCUGCUGUGCUUUCCAUCCUCUGCCGAGACCUUCCUCUGCUCUCUGCCGUCGCAUGCAGCACACUACACCUACCCGCGAGUGGCGCUGACAAGUCCUGCAGAUGGUGCAACGCUGACGAGCCCGACACCGCUGAUGAUGGUGAUGGGCGGUGACGGUGAUGGCAGCAGCAGCACCAGCAGCACCGCGGCACCGUUGACUUUCCCGAAAGACCUUGUGACCAGCGCUUCCGCCGGCGCGGCUGGCCGUUAUCCAUCAGCGACAGUCGCGGAGUGCGCCUAUCUGCUCGGCUCUCCUGCGUCCACCUCGUCCGUUAGCUUGAGCACGGGCACCCACAUCCUCUCCGGCUCGACGCCGCCGCCGCUGGGUGUGGCGCUGAACUUCCCAAGCGCAUCGAGUACCCACUCGGCGCUGUUCAGUGCGGCAGGAGCCGGUAGCCCUUCGGGGCAUCCGGCGCCAGCGGUGCACGCAGCCCCUGCUGCCUUUGCCGCUGCGCCCUCACACAUGGCCGCCACACGCGCUUGGAGUGUCGCUACUAGUGGUGCUGCAGCUGCGAUGUCGAAUGUGCUCAGCGCACCCCCACCGGUGAGUUCUGGACCGUCGUCGUCGUUGUCCACCGAGCAGGCACCGCCACCGCCACCGCACAUUUCUUACCCGCUCGGCAGCACCAUCUAUGCGGUGCCGGAGGCGGCGGCCCUGACGGCGCCGGCCACCGGCGGGCCGCCGGUGUUCAGUGCCGCCCCGAUCAGCGAUGCGGCCAGCCCGGCGACGCCAGCCUCGUCCGCGCAAGUGUCGUGCACGACGCCCAACGCUACGUCUCAACGCUCCGCGCAGCCACUGCACCCCUAGCAAAGCCAGCAGCGGCGCCCGCUCAAGCAGAGGCAUCAGCGCCAACCGCAUCCGCUCAACCUGUUCCACAUCGGCGCCGUCUGGAGCAGGGUGGGGUGGGUGGGUGGGGGAGUGCUACUUGGCCCUUUUCUCUGGCGCUACAGCACCCUCCCGAUCCUUGCGGUGCGGCCCAUCAUCGUGAUCGUCGACGCUGCGAUCCGUCUGCUUGCGCCCACCCUCCGUCUCUCUCUCUCCAGCGGCCGAAGACGUGCGCAGACGUAAUGGCGUGGAAGCGGUGCUUCCGUCAUGCGUGUUUUGUAUGCUUCGUUUUCUCCGUUCCUUCGCGCUGUGCGUUGUGUGUUUGUGUGUGUGUGUGACGGCGCCUUUGGCAGAUGUCGGCCCCUCAUAACCCAGCCUCGCCCAACCCACUCCUCCUUCCUCUUCCUCAUUGUGGGCCACUGCUGCUGUACCGCACGUGCUUGGUGCCUCCUCUGUCGUGCUUUUCACAACGAGGCGGACGAAGGAGACACACAAAAAAAAUCUUCGCCUGGGCGUCUGUGCUUCCUGCUCUGUGCCUGAUUCGCUCCUCUUACCCUACAUGUUUUGCGCUGCGCCGACACCCCCCCUCUCGCCUUUACUGUUUCUCAUCUUCUCAUGACCUCUGCGUGUGCGUGUGCGGGGGGGGGGCGCGGUGCGCUCUCCCCUUCGCACAACCCCGCCCCCUCCUCGUCUUCUGUCUCGUUACCCUCUCCUUCGCUGAGUGGUACGUUUCUGCGUUGAUGUGGAUGUAGGCGUGCACGCGUGCGUGCCCUUCUCUCUGUUUCUCCUCCCCGCGUCUUCCCUCCUGUGCGCGUCUGUUGUUCUGCAAAAUGCUGCUUCAGCUGUACGUUGUGCCUUGGCGCCGCCUCGUCGCCACGGCACCCCCUCACCUCACCCCGCUCACACCUCCUCUUCUCCUGCGAACAGUGCACAUCGUUGUUGACCCUCUGCUACCUCUCUCUUUCUGUGUAUGUGGUCACAUUCGUCAAGCCCCGUGUGCGCACCCUUCUCUUCGCCCCUCCCCCCUCCUCCCCCUUAUCUCUCCACGCGCGUGUCUGCCUGCCUGUGUGCGCGCGCUUGUGUGUGCGUGUGCACGAGGCAGGCGACAGGGGCGCUCUUCAUCUCUUGCAUCGGUCUUCUGUUCGUGGUCGUCGUCCUUGCCGCCUUUGAUGCACGCCGCUGAGGAGUAUGCAGUGCGUGCCCGAGCAAGGCGGGGCUCUGUCGAAGUGCGAAACGACAAUGGGCGGUCUUGAUGGCGAGGGUGGGGGGGGGGCAUAGAGCUAGGGGCUCGGGCGGGCUGCUGCUGCUGCUGCGGCGGCGUAUUGUCGUGCAGAUAUGCCCACUCGCAUGCCUUUCUCUUCCCCUUCCCGCUUCCUUUCUCCCUUUCUCUGCAUGUGCUGUGUUGUGAACCUGUUGCUAAGCCUCCUCCUCUCUCCCUCCUCUUCCCUCCCUUCCCUUCCUUUCUUCUCUUGUUCUUUGCGUUAGUGUGUGCUCAUGCGCGCACGUCUGUGUAUGUGAUGAGUCCGCGAUGUCGCGAGUCGGUGUCCGAGAGCGUGCGCGUGUUGGCCUGUGUUUCUGCGUCCUCUCCUUUCCUCUCUCCCUCAUGUUAUGGCGUGCAUGCCGGCUGUUGUUCGACGCGACCUUCAUCAUUGUCGUUCCUCUUUCUAUGUGUAUGUGUGUGUUUUCGUCUGCCGUCGUCGCUGCUAACACCGAUAUCGCCCCUGUUGGCCUCUCUGUAUCCCCCUCCUCCUCUUUCACGCACACGCACACAUACACGCGCGCACUUGCCUGUCUGCUGGUGUGCCGCAAAGAAAGCGGCAGCAGUACUUUGGCACACCGCAGGGGCCCCAUGCCUGCACCUCUCUCUCCUCCUGCGGCUGCCGCUGCGCAGCCAGCGCGACUCUUGCAUCCAUCACUUCUAGCCCUGCCCCCGCCCCACACACCUAUGCCGCGUCUUGUCAUAUCUACAGCAAGGUGCGAAGCAACAGAGCUGGCGAGGAGGGCCCGGCGACAGGGCACCCGUGACCGGAGGCAACGCCGCCGUCUCAGAGGCAGACGUGCUCGAGAGAUGCGCGGAAAGACAAGGAGCGAGACGCGGCCGUGGGAAGAACCGGAAGGCGCAUGUGCGAGUAACGAUGCAUCACGUCGCAUUACACAGUGCGACGUGAGGGGCCAGAGGCGGAGGAAUGGCUUCCAUAAAGGGGUCUCACUCCUGCGUGCGUGCUGGAUGCUGGCGGCGUCUAAUGCCGUUGCCCGCCCCGUGAGGGGGGGGCGUGUUGGGAAGAAGGGACGGGUGUCGCGGAGGUGAGGAUAGCGGUGCCGCUUCCUUCUUUUAGUUUUGUUUCCUGUUCAUACGCGCGUUGUUGAUACACCCCGCUCGUCUUGUUAUGCUGCAUGACCCCGCGUACGGGGAGUGGCGCCCAUCCUGCACUGGGGCGUCAGAGGACCAACCACGAAAAGAGCAAGAACACAUGCCAGCGAGCAACACGGCAAGCACAUGCGACUCAGGAGGGGAGCGGUAGGCUGGGUGGGCCAUCAGAGGUUGCGUCUGGAGGGAGGAAGCGAUGGAGAGUCGACAGGGCACCAACGCCGCACCACCGUGGCCGGCGGUCCUCUUAGCAGCCAGCUAAUGGGUCUGCCGGUGCGUGUGGGCGCGUCUGUGCAUUCGCUUGUGACGCAGCAGUGCAUCAAUGCGGGCUCUCUGAUUACCACUCCGUCUCUUCAGAUGUGUUCUGCUUGUCUGUCUCUACCUCCCCUUUCGCGACUAAGCGAUGGAAAG